GACGAACGCUGGCGGCGUGCUUAACACAUGCAAGUCGAACGGAAAGGCCCUGCUUUUGUGGGGUGCUCGAGUGGCGAACGGGUGAGUAACACGUGAGUAACCUGCCCUUGACUUUCGGAUAACUUCAGGAAACUGGGGCUAAUACCGGAUAGGAGCUCCUGCUGCAUGGUGGUGGUUGGAAAGUUUCGGCGGUUGGGGAUGGACUCGCGGCUUAUCAGCUUGUUGGUGGGGUAGUGGCUUACCAAGGCUUUGACGGGUAGCCGGCCUGAGAGGGUGACCGGCCACAUUGGGACUGAGAUACGGCCCAGACUCCUACGGGAGGCAGCAGUGGGGAAUAUUGCACAAUGGGGGGAAGCCUGAUGCAGCAACGCCGCGUGCGGGAUGACGGCCUUCGGGUUGUAAACCGCUUUCGCCUGUGACGAAGCGUGAGUGACGGUGAUGGGUAAAGAAGCACCGGCUAACUACGUG
rnacentral:rRNA from 1 species